AGAGCGAACGCUGGCGGCAGGCCUAACACAUGCAAGUCGAACGAACUCUUCGGAGUUAGUGGCGGACGGGUGAGUAACACGUGGGAACGUGCCUUUAGGUUCGGAAUAACUCAGGGAACUUAGGUGACUAAUACCGAAUGUGCCCUUCGGGGGGAAAGAUUUAUCGCCUUUAGAGCGGCCCGCGUCUGAUUGGCUUGUUGGUGGGUAAUAGGCCCACCAACGGACUACGAUCAGUAGCUGGUCUGAGAGGAUGACCAGCCACAUUGGACUGAGACACGCCCGAAACUCCUACGGAGGCAGACAGUGGGGAAUCUUGCGCAAUGGGACGAAGACCUGACGCAGCCAUGCCGCGUGAUGAU
rnacentral:rRNA from 1 species